rnacentral:sRNA from 1 species
GGUGACACAGUGACAGAGUUAGGGAUGGAGUGACUAGUGACAGAGAGAAGGAUGGGGUGACUAGUGACAGAGUGAGGAAGGGGGUGACUAGGGAGAGAGGGGGUGAUUAGUGACAGAGUGAGGGAGGGGGUGACUAGUGACAGAGUGAGGGAGCGGGUGACACAGUGACAGAGUUAGGGAGGGAGUGACUAGUGACAGAGAGAGGGAUGGGGUGACUAGUGACAGUCACCCCCCCCUCACUCUGUCACCAGUCAUCCCCUCACUCUGUCACUAGUCACCCCUUCCCUCCCUCACUUUGCCACUCGUCAUCUCUUCCCUCCCUCACUCUGCCACUAGUCACCCAUUCCCUCACUCUGUCACUAGUCUCCCCCUCUCCUUCCCUCUGUCACUAGUCACCCACUCCCUCACUCUGUCACCAGUCACCCCCACUCACUGUGUCU